rnacentral:rRNA from 1 species
GGAGAACGCUGGCGGCGUGCUUAACACAUGCAAGCGAACGGAGCACCCCUGAAGGAGUUUUCGGACAACGGAUGGGAAUGCUUAGUGGCGGACUGGUGAGUAACGCGUGAGGAACCUGCCUUCCAGAGGGGGGACAACAGUUGGAAACGACUGCUAAUACCGCAUGAUGCGUUGGAGCCGCAUGACUCCGACGUCAAAGAUUUAUCGCUGGAAGAUGGCCUCGCGUCUGAUUAGCUAGUUGGUGAGGUAACGGCCCACCAAGGCGACGAUCAGUAGCCGGACUGAGAGGUUGGCCGGCCACAUUGGGACUGAGAUACGGCCCAGACUCCUACGGGAGGCAGCAGUGGGGAAUAUUGGGCAAUGGACGCAAGUCUGACCCAGCAACGCCGCGUGAAGGAAGAAGGCUUUCGGGUUGUAAACUUCUUUAAGGGGGAAGAGCAGAAGACGGUACCCCUUGAAUAAGCCACGGCUAACUACGUG